rnacentral:rRNA from 1 species
UACGGAGGGUGCGAGCGUUGUCCGGAAUCACUGGGCGUAAAGGGCGCGUAGGUGGCUUGGCAAGCGUGUGGUGAAAGCCCGGGGCUCAACCCCGGGUCUGCCGUGCGAACUGCUAUGGCUUGAGCACUGUAGAGGCAGGUAGAAUUCCGGGUGUAGCGGUGGAAUGCGUAGAGAUCCGGAAGAACACCGGUGGCGAAGGCGGUCGACUGGGCCAGUACUGACGCUGAGGCGCGACAGCGUGGGGAGCAAACAGG